rnacentral:rRNA from 1 species
UGGGGAAUAUUGCACAAUGGGCGCAAGCCUGAUGCAGCGACGCCGCGUGAGGGAUGACGGCCUUCGGGUUGUAAACCUCUUUCACCAGGGACGAAGCGCAAGUGACGGUGCCUGGAGAAGAAGCACCGGCCAACUACGUGCCAGCAGCCGCGGUAAUACGUAGGGUGCGAGCGUUGUCCGGAAUUACUGGGCGUAAAGAGCUCGUAGGUGGUUUGUCGCGUUGUUCGUGAAAACUCACAACUCAAUUGUGGGCGUGCGGGCGAUACGGGCAGACUAGAGUACUGCAGGGGAGACUGGAAUUCCUGGUGUAGCGGUGGAAUGCGCAGAUAUCAGGAGGAACACCGGUGGCGAAGGCGGGUCUCUGGGCAGUAACUGACGCUGAGGAGCGAAAGCGUGGGGAGCGAACAGGAUUAGAUACCCUGGUAGUCCACGCCGUAAACGGUGGGUACUAGGUGUGGGUUCCUUCCUUGGGGAUCCGUGCCGUAGCUAACGCAUUAAGUACCCCGCCUGGGGAGUACGGCCGCAAGGCUAAAACUCAAAGGAAUUGACGGGGUCAUAGCUGUUUCCU